CGGUUUCAUGGAUUUCCUGACAGAUAAGAUAGUAUUUAUGAGUUGCCUUAGCAUUCCUACAUUUGAAGCAGUAUGAAGUAUGAUUGGCAGCAACCCAAUUUCAUUAUUCUUAGAUGAGUCAGUAAGUGUGGAAAGAGAAAUGAAAUGGGCAGCCAAUCAACACAGAAAAAAAAAAUCCGAUAUUCUGAGGCCAAGAAAGUAUUUAUAUGCUGAUGACUCAACUUUUGCAGCAGUGUCUGCAGCAAGAACAGGAAAUAUACUAUUGAACCCUCUUACAACAAGAACUUUGAUGUGAAAGGCCGGAAUAGCUCAUUCUGCCUGCUGUGAUUCAGAAAGCCGGAGCUGUAAUCCUGGAUCUCUGCAGAAUGCACUCACAAGAGCUUCAGAGCUCACUAAAGGACAUCAGAAAUGGGUCCUGCAGGACACAUGUCUCUGCAAGUGGAAGUUUGGAUGAAGAUUCAGAAAGGUGACAAGGCAUGAACAAUCCUACAAUAUGAUGUGGUCAAGUGCUGGAAGAACUGGGCACACAGUCCAAUCCCUGGCUCACCAACACGCUUCACAGGAUGUGCGGAGACCCUCUCAUGACAAAAUGGCUUGAAUAAAGUAAUUAGGAAUUUCCAUUGUGUAAAAUGCAAUUACCCCAACUAACAGUGUUAUAAUUGUUUUACUGAACCAACACAAAACGAAGACAUUCCCAGGUAGUUCUCUAAGCAUUAUAUAAAAUCUACAGACUGCAUUAAAUCCAUCUUUUAACAGAACUCUACACCCGAACAACAUUUUCCUAUUCAGUUAUAGAAAGCCAACACCUUCAGAACUAUUUCUAUGUAAAAAAAUAAUUCUUCUUGUAUUAAUAAAGCCUAAUAACUUGUUGAGAAGUUGAGAUAUGCAAGAUGGCAGGCAAAAAUUGUUUCAGACAUGACAACAAAAUAAAUAGCAACAAAUAACAAA